rnacentral:rRNA from 1 species
GAUGAACGCUGGCGGCGUGCUUAACACAUGCAAGUCGAACGAGAAAUGAAGACGGAAACCUUCGGGCGGAAGCCUUCAUUUCGAGUGGCGGACGGGUGAGUAACGCGUGGGUAACCUGCCUCAUACAGGGGGAUAACAGUUGGAAACGACUGUUAAUACCGCAUAAGACCACAGCAUCGCAUGAUGCGGGGGUAAAAACUCCGGUGGUAUGAGAUGGACCCGCGUUCGAUUAGCCAGUUGGCGGGGUAACGGCCCACCAAAGCGACGAUCGAUAGCCGAUCUGAGAGGAUGACCGGCCACAUUGGGACUGAGACACGGCCCAAACUCCUACGGGAAGCAGCAGUGGGGAAUAUUGCACAAUGGGGGAAACCCUGAUGCAGCGACGCCGCGUGAGUGAAGAAGUACUUCGGUAUGUAAAGCUCUAUCAGCAGGGAAGAAAAUGACGGUACCUGAGUAAGAAGCCCCGGCUAACUACGUG